rnacentral:rRNA from 1 species
UACGUAGGUGGCAAGCGUUGUCCGGAAUUAUUGGGCGUAAAGGGCGCGUAGGCGGCCUUCUAAGUCGAACGUGAAAUCCCCGGGCUUAACCCGGGAACUGCGUCCGAUACUGGGAGGCUUGAAUUCGGGAGAGGGAUGCGGAAUUCCAGGUGUAGCGGUGAAAUGCGUAGAUAUCUGGAGGAACACCGGUGGCGAAGGCGGCAUCCUGGACCGAGAUUGACGCUGAUGCGCGAAAGCCAGGGGAGCAAACGGG